rnacentral:lncRNA from 1 species
GAAAACUCUGACGUAUUCACAUCUUCGAAGCCCAAUUUGUUCAAGUACCGAUUGCGGCGACAUUUUGUUACUGGUGCAUGAACCGGUGGCAUACACAUUUAUAUUUCAGCAUACGAUUGUCAUAUUGACAAUCACCAGAACCAAGUGAAUCUACAUCAACAGAUUCAUUUGAUUUAUUCAACAGGGAAACCCAUUUUUUUGUAUGCUAACUGAUAUCAAAGAAAAUGCAAUUGUGUAAUAAAGUUUUUCCAAAAUAAACGAGAAGGGAUAUGUGAGAUGCUUCCUACGCGCUACAGCUUUUAUACCCGGCAUUCAGUAGGACAUUUGUACCUUACAUUUUACUAUUUUCAUUAAUAUGUCAUCUAUGUACAUCUACAGCACUUCUCACGCCAACACGCCCUUUUAGCUCGCAACAUGUACAAACUAAUUACUAAUCUAAACUUAAGCUAGUAUUGAAAGUCCUCAAAUUAAUUUCAUGAAGUAUAGAAUUACGUACUUGCGUAUCCCAGCCCCCGCAAAGGGCGACAAUCUGAGGUAUCCACAAUUUUGAAGAUAAAAGAAAUUCCAUUCCGUAG